rnacentral:lncRNA from 1 species
GUAGCCAUGCAUCGGAGGGCGUGGCGGAGGCGCUCCAGGAGUAAAGUUAGCCAAUGGACCACCAGAAGGAGGUGGAGGUGGUAUUGAACGUGGAGGACCAUUUGCAAGCGGAGGUGGAGGGGGUGGAGGUUGAAGACCGCUCAUUGGUGGUGGCGGGAUCCUAGGGGGCAUUCCCAUAGGUGCAUUCGGUGGAGGUGGUGGCAGAGCCUGUGGAUGGGACGGUGGCCUUGGUGGAGCACCAGGAGGGCCUCCUGUUCCAUUUGGAACAGUCCCAGGAGCUGCUGGUUGUCUAUUGAUCUCCGGC